rnacentral:rRNA from 1 species
GGGUUGUGAGGUUAAGCGACUAAGCGUACACGGUGGAUGCCCUGGCAGUCAGAGGCGAUGAAGGGCGUGCUAAUCUGCGAUAAGCGCCGGUAAGGUGAUAUGAACCGUUAUAACCGGCGAUACCCGAAUGGGGAAACCCAGUGUGAUUCGUCACACUAUCAUUAACUGAAUCCAUAGGUUAAUGAGGCGAACCGGGGGAACUGAAACAUCUAAGUACCCCGAGGAAAAGAAAUCAACCGAGAUUCCCCCAGUAGCGGCGAGCGAACGGGGAGGAGCCCAGAGCCUGAAUGAGCAUGUGUGUUAGUGGAAGCGUCUGGAAAGGCGCGCGAUACAGGGUGACAGCCCCGUACACAAAAGCGCAUGUGCUGUGAGCUCGAUGAGUAGGGCGGGACACGUGGUAUCCUGUCUGAAUAUGGGGGGACCAUCCUCCAAGGCUAAAUACUCCUGACUGACCGAUAGUGAACCAGUACCGUGAGGGAAAGGCGAAAAGAACCCCGGCGAGGGGAGUGAAAAAGAACCUGAAACCGUGUACGUACAAGCAGUGGGAGCCCCACCACUAAGCCAGUGGUGAACUCCACAUCCGCAUCCUUUGCUGAGGAUACGGUUAACGGAGCGAAAGCGACGUUCAACCGCAAAACAAGCAGAGGGGGCUUAGUGGUGGGGUGACUGCGUACCUUUUGUAUAAUGGGUCAGCGACUUAUAUUCUGUAGCAAGGUUAACCGAAUAGGGGAGCCGGAGGGAAACCGAGUCUUAAUUGGGCGUUAAGUUGCAGGGUAUAGACCCGAAACCCGGUGAUCUAGCCAUGGGCAGGUUGAAGGUUGGGUAACACUAACUGGAGGACCGAACCGACUAAUGUUGAAAAAUUAGCGGAUGACCUGUGGCUGGGGGUGAAAGGCCAAUCAAACCGGGAGAUAGCUGGUUCUCCCCGAAAGCUAUUUAGGUAGCGCCUCGUGAAUUCAUCUCCGGGGGUAGAGCACUGUUUCGGCUAGGGGGCCAUCCCGGCUUACCAACCCGAUGCAAACUGCGAAUACCGGAGAAUGUUAUCACGGGAGACACACGGCGGGUGCUAACGUCCGUCGUGAAGAGGGAAACAACCCAGACCGCCAGCUAAGGUCCCAAAGUCAUGGUUAAGUGGGAAACGAUGUGGGAAGGCCCAGACAGCCAGGAUGUUGGCUUAGAAGCAGCCAUCAUUUAAAGAAAGCGUAAUAGCUCACUGGUCGAGUCGGCCUGCGCGGAAGAUGUAACGGGGCUAAACCAUGCACCGAAGCUGCGGCAGCGAACGUAUCACCCAAGACAACUUUACGGAGUUGACGAUUGACGGAGCGAAGCGACGUCAAAGCGUUCAUUAAAGUCGAGUUGGCUUAGGGAUACGUUCGUUGGGUAGGGGAGCGUUCUGUAAGCCUGUGAAGGUGUGUCGUGAGGCAUGCUGGAGGUAUCAGAAGUGCGAAUGCUGACAUAAGUAACGAUAAAGCGGGUGAAAAGCCCGCUCGCCGGAAGACCAAGGGUUCCUGUCCAACGUUAAUCGGGGCAGGGUGAGUCGACCCCUAAGGCGAGGCCGAAAGGCGUAGUCGAUGGGAAACGGGUUAAUAUUCCCGUACUUGGUGUUACUGCGAAGGGGGGACGGAGAAGGCUAUGUUGGCCGGGCGACGGUUGUCCCGGUUUAAGCGUGUAGGUGUGUGUUCCAGGUAAAUCCGGUUCACUUUAACACUGAGGCGUGAUGACGAGGCACUACGGUGCUGAAGCAACAAAUGCCCUGCUUCCA